rnacentral:rRNA from 1 species
CGUCCCGCCGGCGACCGGCGCACGGGUGAGUAACACGUAUGCAACCUGGCCGCCACAGGGGGAUAACCCGCGGAAACGCGGCCUAAUACCCCGUGACGCCACCGGAGGGCAUCCUCCGGUGGCCAAAGGAGCGAUCCGGUGGCGGAUGGGCAUGCGGCGCAUUAGCUAGACGGCGGGGUGACGGCCCACCGUGGCGACGAUGCGUAGGGGUUCUGAGAGGAAGGCCCCCCACACUGGGACUGAGACACGGCCCAGACCCCUACGGAAGGCAGCAG